UACGAAGGGGGGCUAGCGUUGCUCGGAAUCACUGGGCGUAAAGCGCACGUAGGCGGAUUGUUAAGUCAGGGGUGAAAUCCUGGAGCUCAACUCCAGAACUGCCUUUGAUACUGGCGAUCUUGAGUCCGGGAGAGGUGAGUGGAACUGCGAGUGUAGAGGUGAAAAUUCGUAGAUAUUCGCAAGAACACCAGUGGCGAAGGCGAGUCUCUGGACAACUCCUGACACUGAGGCACGAAAGCUAGGGGAGCAAACAGG
rnacentral:rRNA from 1 species